rnacentral:rRNA from 1 species
CCCUUAGAUGUUCUGGGCCGCACGCGCGCUACACUGACGAUGGCAACGAGUUUUUCCUUCGCCGAAAGGUGUGGGUAAUCUUUUGAAACAUCGUCGUGCUGGGGAUAGAUCAUUGCAGUUUUUGAUCUUGAACGAGGAAUUCCUAGUAAGCGCGAGUCAUCAGCUCGCGUUGAUUACGUCCCUGCCCUUUGUACACACCGCCCGUCGCUACUACCGAUUGAAUGGUUUAGUGAGGACUCCUGAUUGGCGCCGCCGCCCCGGCAACGGAGCAGCGGACUGCCGAAAAGUUGUUCAAACUUGAUCAUUUAGAGGAAGUAAAAGUCGUAACA